rnacentral:lncRNA from 1 species
UGAAGGCGGAGCUGAAGAGCGUGAUGGGGGAUGGAGAAGGUGGUGGACGAGUCGCUCAUGCCCAGGCUGCCGUAUCUGCAAGCGGUCGUCAAGGAUCCAUGCGGCUGCACCCGCCGGGCCCACUCCUUCUUCCUCGCAAGGCGGAGAGCGAUCAAGUCGUCAACGGCUACCUCAUCCNUAUAUAUAUAUUAUAAAUAUAAUUCAGUUUUCGGUUUGUCGGUUUUAAAAAAUCCGAACCGAACCGAAUCGAAAACCGAAAUUUUAUGAAAAAAAAUUGAACCGAACCGAAAACCGAAAAACCGAACCAUAUUUUAAAAUUCCGGUUUGGAUCGGUUCGGUUAUUCGGUUUCAGAUUUUUUGCUCACCCCUACAGAAAAUGCAAAGCCUUUCCACCAAUUUCGUUCCAUUCUUAUACAAUAAAAUAAACUUAGAUUAAAAGAGUCAAAAUUGGUAGGCAUAAUGUGGGGACCAUGACCCCUACAUAAAAUAACGUACCUAGGGAUGGCUCUAUCUGACCUAGGGAUGGCAACAAGCCAUCAAUAUCAGAUCUAGAUCGUGGAUCUAAAAAUUUAGAUUCCAUGAUUUUACAUUUUUAAAUAAAUUAAAAAAAAAUUACAAAAAUUCCACAAAAUUUAAUUUUUCAUCAUGAAAAACUAGAAAGUAGGAGCGGUCCGAGAAGGUGAUCAGCGAGCUGGAGUGAUCUAAGAGGUUCGAGAAGGUGGCCGACGAACUGAAGAGGGAGAUGGAAGUGAGGCGGCGGGUUCACGAGUGAGGGACCGAGAGGGAGAAAGUAGAAAGUAGAAACUAGAAACUAGGGUUUGCAAAGUAAUUCUAAUUUAUCUAUUAUUUUUAAUUUUUAAUAUAUCUAAUAUUAUUAAUAAAAUAAAUAUAAAAAAUAAAUAAUAUAUAUUAUAUAAAAUAGAUCUACAGGUCGGAUCAGGGUCGGAUCCGGAUCUCAAAUUUCAAGAUCCAAAUCCAGAUUCGUUUUAAAAAAUGAGAUCCAGAUCCGCAGGUCCAAAAAAUUGAAAUCCAGGUCCAUAAAACGGAUCUAAAAUCCACGAAUCUGGACCGGAUCCAGGAUCCAUUGCCAUCCGUGAUAUGAUUAGUUCCGUAAACAGUAUACAUAAGCAGCUAUAAAGGAAAGCAAGGUCCCCCAAUAUUCAAACAUAAACAUUUAAAGAGCGAAAAGAAGAAGUAGAAAUAUGGAUUAUUUUCCUCUUCUGGCUGCACUCUUUUUCAUCAGCGCCGCAACGAUGGUUUAUCUCUUCCCGGCGGCGGAGGAACCUCCCACCGGGGCCAUUCCCGUAUCCGAUCGUCGGAAACAUGCUGCAGCUGGGGCCCAACCCACGAGACAUUCGCCAAACUGUCAAAGAAAUACGGCCCGCUGAUGUCGGUCCACCUCGGCAGCCUGUACACCGUGAUCGUGUCCUCGCCGGAGAUGGCGAAAGAGAUCAUGCUGAAAUACGGGACGGUGUUCUCCGGCAGAACGGUGGCGCAGGCGGUGCACGCGUGCGACCACGACAAGAUCUCGAUGGGGUUCCUCCCGAUCGGGGCGGAGUGGCGCGACAUGCGCAAGAUAUGCAAAGAGCAGAUGUUCUCGCACCAGAGCAUGGAAGACAGCCAGGGCCUCCGCAAGCAGAAGCUGCAGCAGCUGCUCGACCACGCCCACAGAUGCUCCGAGCAGGGCCGCGCCAUCGACAUCCGCGAGGCCGCCUUCAUCACCACCCUCAACCUCAUGUCCGCCACCCUCUUCUCCAUGCAGGCCACCGAGUUCGACUCCAAGGUCACCAUGGAGUUCAAGGAGAUCAUCGAGGGCGUCGCCAGCAUCGUCGGCGUCCCCAACUUCGCCGACUACUUCCCCAUCCUCCGCCCCUUCGACCCGCAGGGGGUCAAGCGCAGGGCCGACGUCUACUUCGGCAGACUGCUGGCUUUAAUCGAGGGCUAUCUCAACGACAGAAUCCAAUCCAGAAAGGCCAACCCCGACGCCCCCAAGAAGGAUGACUUCCUCGAGACGCUCGUCGAUAUUCUCAACUCCAACGACAACAAGCUCAAGACCGAUCACCUCCUGCAUCUCAUGCUCGACCUCUUCGUCGGGGGUUCGGAGACGAGCACCACCGAGAUCGAGUGGAUCAUGGAGGAGCUCGUGGCGCACCCGGACAAGAUGACGAAGGUGAAGGCGGAGCUGAAGAGCGUGAUGGGGGAUGAGAAGGUGGUGGACGAGUCGCUCAUGCCCAGGCUGCCGUAUCUGCAAGCGGUGGUCAAGGAAUCCAUGCGGCUGCACCCGCCGGGCCCACUCCUUCUUCCUCGCAAGGCCGAGAGCGAUCAAGUCGUCAACGGCUACCUCAUCCCGAAGGGGACUCAGGUGCUCAUCAACGCGUGGGCCAUGGGCAGAGACUCCACCAUCUGGAACAAUCCAGACGCCUUCCAACCCGAACGCUUCCUCGAUAACAAGAUCGACUUCAAAGGCCAGGAUUACGAGCUCAUUCCCUUCGGGUCGGGUCGGCGGGUCUGCCCCGGCAUGCCCCUCGCCAACCGCAUGCUGCACACCGUCACCGCCACGCUCGUUCACAACUUCGAC